GACGAACGCUGGCGGCGUGCUUAACACAUGCAAGUCGAACGAUGAAGCCCAGCUUGCUGGGUGGAUUAGUGGCGAACGGGUGAGUAACACGUGGGCAACCUGCCCCAAACUCUGGGGUAACUCCUCGAAAGAGGUGCUAAUACCGGAUACGAACUAGACAGACAUCUGUACUAGUUGGAAAGUUUUUCGGUUUGGGAUGGGCCCGCGGCCUAUCAGCUUGUUGGUGAGGUAACGGCUCACCAAGGCUACGACGGGUAACCGGCCUGAGAGGGCGACCGGUCACACUGGGACUGAGACACGGCCCAGACUCCUACGGGAGGCAGCAGUGGGGAAUAUUGCGCAAUGGGCGAAAGCCUGACGCAGCGACGCCGCGUGAGGGAUGAAGGUCUUCGGAUCGUAAACCUCUUUCAGUAGGGACGAAGCGAAAGUGACGGUACCUAAAGAAGAAGCACCGGCUAACUACGUGCCAGCCGCCGCCGUAA
rnacentral:rRNA from 1 species